AUUGAACGCUGGCGGCAGGCCUAACACAUGCAAGUCGGACGGUAGCACAGAGAGCUUGCUCUUGGGUGACGAGUGGCGGACGGGUGAGUAAUGUCUGGGGAUCUGCCCGAUAGAGGGGGAUAACCACUGGAAACGGUGGCUAAUACCGCAUAACGUCGCAAGACCAAAGAGGGGGACCUUCGGGCCUCUCACUAUCGGAUGAACCCAGAUGGGAUUAGCUAGUAGGCGGGGUAAUGGCCCACCUAGGCGACGAUCCCUAGCUGGUCUGAGAGGAAGACCAGCCACACUGGAACUGAGACACGGUCCAGACUCCUACGGGAGGCAGCAGUGGGGAAUAUUGCACAAUGGGCGCAAGCCUGAUGCAGCCAUGCCGCGUGUAUGAAGAAGGCCUUCGGGUUGUAAAGUACUUUCAGCGGGGAGGAAGGCGGUGCGGUUAAUAACCGCGUCGAUUGACGUUACCCGCAGAAGAAGCACCGGCUAACUCCGUGCCAGCCGCCACUGUAA
rnacentral:rRNA from 1 species